rnacentral:rRNA from 1 species
CGGAGGAUCCAAGCGUUACCCGGAUUUAUUGGGUUUAAAGGGUGCGUAGGCGGCCUAUUAAGUCAGGGGUGAAAGACGGUAGCUUAACUAUCGCAGUGCCUUUGAUACUGAUGGGCUUGAAUGGACUAGAGGUAGGCGGAAUGUGACAAGUAGCGGUGAAAUGCAUAGAUAUGUCACAGAACACCAAUUGCGAAGGCAGCUUACUAUAGUUUAAUUGACGCUGAGGCACGAAAGCGUGGGGAUCAAACAGGAUUAGAUACCCUGGUAGUCCACGCCCUAAACGAUGAACACUCGAUGUUAGCGAUAUACAGUUAGCGUCUAAGCGAAAGCGUUAAGUGUUCCACCUGGGGAGUACGCCCGCAAGGGUG